GAAAUGCGAUAAGUAAUGUGAAUUGCAGAAUUCAGUGAAUCAUCGAAUCUUUGAACGCACAUUGCGCCCCCUGGUAUUCCGGGGGGCAUGCCUGUUCGAGCGUCAUUUCACCACUCAAGCCUCGCUUGGUAUUGGGCGACGCGGUCCGCCGCGCGCCUCAAAUCGACCGGCUGGGUCUUUCGUCCCCUCAGCGUUGUGGAAACUAUUCGCUAAAGGGUGCCUCGGGAGGCCACGCCGUAAAACAACCCCAUUUCUAAGGUUGACCUCGGAUCAGGUAGGGAUACCCGCUGAACUUAAGC
rnacentral:misc_RNA from 1 species